UAUCUAAACGGAGAGAUUCAAUACUGAACUUAACACUCAGUGUGCACUUCUCUCUUAGUAGGACGUCGUGAUCCAUUAGAAAUUGGUAGACGCCAGUCUAUAUGAGGUCAUCAAUGGGCUCGCACGAAGUUUAUUGGAACAAAUGGCAGAGUCUUUCAACGGCACUGUGUAUUGUCUGGUAAGCGUGCGAAUACUCGCAAUGACUGUCUGAUGGAUUUUAAAGAUUAUAUUAUUGAUGUUUCGGCAUCACUCGCCUCACGGCCCGAGUAUACAAUAUAUAUCCGAUCAACGACGCUUAAAUUUGGGAUACCUUUUGGACCCGUCUUGAAACACGGACCAAGGAGUCUAUCUAAUGUGCGAGUAAAUGAGUAGCUUAUGAAACUUAUUUGCGCAAUUAACGUAACUGUAUUUAUGGGAUUACGAGGUCAUUUCAAUGGUGAUCUCUUCCAUCCCGGAGUAUUUUCGUCAACAUAUGAGCAAUCAUAUGGAAAAUAUAUCAUGAGCAUAUUGGAUACGACCCGAAAGAUGGUGAACUAUGCUUGAUCAGGUCGAAGUCAGGGGAAACCCUGAUGGAGGACCGAAGCAGUUCUGACGUGCAAAUCGAUUGUCAGA
rnacentral:rRNA from 1 species